GGCUGAGUUAGCUCAGUGCGUAGAGCAUGAGACUCUUAAUCUCGUGGGUUUGAGUCCCACUUUGGGUG